rnacentral:lncRNA from 1 species
AAGUUCUUGUUUAUUUUAUCUAGUUGCUUUUCAAUGUUAAUUACACUCCAAACUUAAUUGUUUUAAUCUGAAAUGAUCAUUUAAUAUCAUUCAAUCAGAAAAUAUGGAGAGUUUUUACCCAUGAUGAUCACUUACAUGUAAUCAUCAUUGAGAACGUUUUGCAGCUUUUUUUUAAUACUAUUUCUAUUUAUUUUAUAAUAAAAUAAAAAUAAAAAAGUUUUGUUUUCCUUCUAUUAUCACUAUAUUUGUAUUAUUAUACUUUUUACAACUUUCAUUGUUAACCAUGUAAUUUGUACCUCAACCUCUUGAACUCUUUGCACUUGUCACAAUG